rnacentral:lncRNA from 1 species
AUUUGGUCCCCUAAAAAUAAACACCCCAGUAACAAGGCUGUGCUGCAGCCGGACCAGCGCCUCCCACAGCGGGGGAAACUCCCCUGCAGCCGGACCAGCGCCUCCCACAGCGGGGGAAACUCCACUGCAGCCGGACCAGCGCCUCCCACAGCGGGGGAAACUCCACUGCAGCCGGACCAGCGCCUCCCACAGCGGGGGAAACUCCACUGCAGCCGGACCAGCCCCCCACGGGGAACUCUGCAGCGGACCAGGCUCCACAGGGGGAACCCACUGCAGCCGGACAGCGCCUCCACAGCGGGGAAACUCCACUGCAGCCGGACCAGCCCUCCCACAGCGGGGAACUCCACUGCAGCGGACCAGCGCCUCCCACAGCGGGGGAAACUCCACUGCAGCCGGACCAGGCCCUCCCACAGCGGGGGAAACUCCACUGCAGCCGGACCAGGCCCUCCCACAGCGGGGAAACUCCACUGCAGCCGGCCAGGCCUCCCACAGCGGGGGAAACUCCACUGCAGCCGGACCAGGCCCUCCCACAGCGGGGGAAACUCCACUGCAGCCGGACCAGGCCUCCCACAGCGGGGGAAACUCCACUGCAGCUGGACCAGGCCCUCCCACGGGGAUGGGGGCAGGGAACUCCAGAGGAGCCCAGGCGCUGCCUGUAACUGCACGCAGCACCCGCCCGGAACUGCACGCAGCACCCGCCCGGAACUCCACGCACCAUCCGCCCGGAACUGCACGCACCCCGCCCGGAACUGCACGCAGCGCCCGCCCGGAACUGCACGCAGCGCCCGCCCGGAACUCCACGCAGCACCCGCCCGGAACUCCACGCACCUCCGCCCGGAACUCACGCAGCCCCGCCCGGAACUCCACGCACCAUCCGCCCGGAACUGCACGCAGCACCCGCCCGGAACUCCACGCAGCACCCGCCCGGAACUCCACGCACCACCGCCCGGAACUCCACGCAGCACCCGCCCGGAACUCACGCAGCACCGCCCGGAACUCCACGCAGCACCCGCCCGGAACUCCACGCAGCACCCGCCCGGAACUCCACGCACCAUCCGCCUGGGGCCUCACGGGGCUCCCAGAACAAAGGCCAGAUUGGCAGGACACAGCCAGGGUGGGAUGCUGACACUCACAGGAACCCCCGACUCACGCCCGCUCCCCACUCAAACUCACCCCCCACUCACACUAAUCCUAACCCACCCCCACUCACACCAACCCCCCCAUUCACACCAACUCUCCCCUCACACCAACACCCCUACUCACAAACUCCCAAACUCCUCCCAGUCACACUGA